rnacentral:rRNA from 1 species
UACGUAGGGUGCGAGCGUUUGUUCGGAAUUAUUGGGCGUAAAGCGCUUGUAGGCGGCACGUCAAAGUCGCGUGUGAAAUCCCCAGGCUUAACCUGGGAAGUGCGCGCGAAACUGACGAGCUUGAGUGCCGGAGAGGGUCGCGGAAUUCCCGGUGUAGAGGUGAAAUUCGUAGAUAUCGGGAGGAAACACCAGUGGCGAAGGCGGCGACCUGGACGGACACUGAACGCUGAAACGCGAAAGCGUGGGGGAGCAAACAGG